GGUUAAGCGACUAAGCGUACACGGUGGAUGCCCUGGCAGUCAGAGGCGAUGAAGGACGUGCUAAUCUGCGAAAAGCGCCGGCGAGGUGAUAUGAACCCUUGACCCGGCGAUGUCCGAAUGGGGAAACCCAGUGUGAUUCGUCACACUAUCGUUAACUGAAUACAUAGGUUAACGAGGCGAACCGGGGGAACUGAAACAUCUAAGUACCCCGAGGAAAAGAAAUCAACCGAGAUUCCCCCAGUAGCGGCGAGCGAACGGGGAGCAGCCCAGAGUCUGAAUCAGCUUGUGUGUUAGUGGAAGCGUCUGGAAAGUCGCACGGUACAGGGUGAAAGUCCCGUACACGAAAGCACACAGGCUGUGAACUCGAAGAGUAGGGCGGGACACGUGGUAUCCUGUCUGAAUAUGGGGGGACCAUCCUCCAAGGCUAAAUACUCCUGACUGACCGAUAGUGAACCAGUACCGUGAGGGAAAGGCGAAAAGAACCCCGGCGAGGGGAGUGAAAAAGAACCUGAAACCGUGUACGUACAAGCAGUGGGAGCACCUUCGUGGUGUGACUGCGUACCUUUUGUAUAAUGGGUCAGCGACUUAUAUUCUGUAGCAAGGUUAACCGUAUAGGGGAGCCGAAGGGAAACCGAGUCUUAACUGGGCGUUAAGUUGCAGGGUAUAGACCCGAAACCCGGUGAUCUAGCCAUGGGCAGGUUGAAGGUUGGGUAACACUAACUGGAGGACCGAACCGACUAAUGUUGAAAAAUUAGCGGAUGACCUGUGGCUGGGGGUGAAAGGCCAAUCAAACCGGGAGAUAGCUGGUUCUCCCCGAAAGCUAUUUAGGUAGCGCCUCGUGAACUCAUCUUCGGGGGUAGAGCACUGUUUCGGCUAGGGGGCCAUCCCGGCUUACCAACCCGAUGCAAACUACGAAUACCGAAGAAUGUUAU
rnacentral:rRNA from 1 species